UUCAAGAAGCUCUGAUUCAGCAGCUUCAGCCCUAUCUACCGUGAUUACUACUUAGUGAUGGACCUAUCCUCCAUGAAUUGUCCCAUCCACUUCUGAAUAGCUCUGGGCAACUGUUCCCUCUCUACACCUGUGAUUAACUGAAUGUCCAAAAAACCUACAGUACUGGUGCUGAUCUCAUGAGACUGAAGCCAUACACUAGACUCCAAAAAUUCCUGGGACGAAAUAAAGAGAGAAGAAAAGACUGAACUGCUCUGCAUUCCUCUGCUGAUCUCUGCAUGGGGAAAGAAAAAAGAAAGUUAUCUCCAUGAAAUGAAAAGACAAAAUAAAAUGAAAAAAAG